rnacentral:rRNA from 1 species
UACAAGUGACCCCGGUCUAACCACCGGGAUGUUCAUAACCCUUUGUUGUCCGACUCUGUUGCCUCCGGGGCGACCCUGCCUUCGGGCGGGGGCUCCGGGUGGACACUUCAAACUCUUGCGUAACUUUGCAGUCUGAGUAAACUUAAUUAAUAAAUUAAAACUUUUAACAACGGAUCUCUUGGUUCUGGCAUCGAUGAAGAACGCAGCGAAAUGCGAUAAGUAAUGUGAAUUGCAGAAUUCAGUGAAUCAUCGAAUCUUUGAACGCACAUUGCGCCCCCUGGUAUUCCGGGGGGCAUGCCUGUUCGAGCGUCAUUUCACCACUCAAGCCUCGCUUGGUAUUGGGCAACGCGGUCCGCCGCGUGCCUCAAAUCGACCGGCUGGGUCUUCUGUCCCCUAAGCGUUGUGGAAACUAUUCGCUAAAGGGUGUUCGGGAGGCUACGCCGUAAAACAACCCCAUUUCUAAGGUUGACCUCGGAUCAGGUAGGGAUACCCGCUGAACUUAAGCAUAUCAAUAAGCGGAGGAAAAGAAACCAACAGGGAUUGCUCUAGUAACGGCGAGUGAAGCAGCAAUAGCUCAAAUUUGAAAUCUGGCGUCUUCGACGUCCGAGUUGUAAUUUGUAGAGGAUGCUUCUGAGUAACCACCGACCUAAGUUCCUUGGAACAGGACGUCAUAGAGGGUGAGAAUCCCGUAUGCGGUCGGAAAGGUGCUCUAUACGUAGCUCCUUCGACGAGUCGAGUUGUUUGGGAAUGCAGCUCUAAAUGGGAGGUAAAUUUCUUCUAAAGCUAAAUAUUGG